rnacentral:rRNA from 1 species
AGUGAACGCUGGCGGUAGGCCUAACACAUGCAAGUCGAACGGCAGCACAGUAAGCGCUUGCUCUUACGGGUGGCGAGUGGCGGACGGGUGAGGAAUACAUCGGAAUCUACUUUUUCGUGGGGGAUAACGUAGGGAAACUUACGCUAAUACCGCAUACGACCUACGGGUGAAAGCAGGGGAUCUUCGGACCUUGCGCGAUUGAAUGAGCCGAUGUCGGAUUAGCUAGUUGGCGGGGUAAAGGCCCACCAAGGCGACGAUCCGUAGCUGGUCUGAGAGGAUGAUCAGCCACACUGGAACUGAGACACGGUCCAGACUCCUACGGGAGGCAGCAGUGGGGAAUAUGGGACAAUGGGCGCAAGCCUGAUCCAGCCAUACCGCGUGGGUGAAGGAGGCCUUCGGGUUGUAAAGCCCUUUUGUUGGGAAAGAAAAGCAGCAGGUUAAUACCCCGCUGUUCUGACGGUACCCAAAGAAUAAGCACCGGCUAACUUCGUG